GUGAAUAUGACAGCCCAAUUAGGAAAAUAGAGCGGCAGAGUGGGUGUGCGAAUGUAUCGCGAUUUCCUUUGUAAAGUUGCAAUUCUCACAGAUUUUCUAACAAACACAUUAUGUAUUCGAUUUAUUAUUAAAUAAACUAUAAAGUUGCUUUGAAGAUGGCCAACAAACGACUCAGUGAACCGAAUUCUCCGGUCCGUAAAGUGUGGAAACCUGAAUUGUACAAAAUUCAACUAGAAGCUCCCACGCCGAAGGCUAUACUACGCCGCCACGAUAUAAACGAUGCACCUGACUGCUUUGGCUACGAAUAUCAUGGGGAAUUGGGUCAUUUGGAGGUGGAGAAAAUGUUGGACGGAACUCCCGACGGUUCUUACCUGAUCCGAAGGAGCCCAGGCUCGUCGGGAUUCUACACACUGAGCGUGCGUUUCAACAACAAAACGAAACACUAUAAGAUCUACCAUCAAUGGAACGUCGGCUACUAUCUGAAGGAGAACUCGAAGCGAUUCGACACAAUACACGACCUAGUCGCAGAUGGUCUCGUGGAUUUCUAUAUGCAAAUCCACGCCGCGCCAAUCAUCAAGGAAAUGUUAUCUCAGACGAAGAAUAACUACCAACAGAGCCCGUAUAUGACACUCAACCGACGGAAGUUACGUGCCUUAUCAAAUGAUAUUCGAAAAUCUAUCAAAUCUGAGAAUAUAACUGAAUCAUCAUCACCAACGGUGAUUAGUCCCAGUCAAGAGGAAGUCGAUGUUCUUCCAGUUGUUUAUGAAAAGCCUCACGUUUUCAAAGUGCAUACCUUCAAAGGUCUAAAUUGGUGUGAGCUGUGCGCUAACUUCUUAUGGGGAUUCACUUCGCAAGGGGUGAAAUGUGAAGAUUGUGCUUUCAUAGCGCAUACCAAGUGCUCUGAGCUGGUUCCCGCGAAAUGUGUGCCAGACUUGAAGAAAAUCCGAGGCGUGUUCGGGACAGAUUUAACUACUCUGGUCACCGCACAUAACGGAACAAUACCAUUUGUUAUACGACGUUGUGUUGAGGAAGUGGAGUGUCGUGGAAUGUUACAGGAAGGAAUCUACAGGGUAUCAGGAUUUGCAGAUGAAAUUGAAGCGUUGAAGUUCGCAUUGGACAAUCACGGAGAGAAGACUGAUAUGUCGGAGACGGCGUAUGGGAAUGUGAAUGUUAUCGCUGGCACAUUGAAAUUGUAUUUGCGACUGCUGCCAGUGCCGUUAAUUACUUUUCAAGCAUAUCCCGCGUUUAUGGCGACCACACGAUGUAAAACGAUUGGCGAGCAAAUUCUGGCGUUGCGAGACGCAUCGAAACAGUUGCCACCGGCACAUUUCAAAUGCUUGAAAUUCAUGAUUGAACAUUUAAAUAGAGUCGCUUCACACUAUGCAGUCAAUAAAAUGAACGAACACAAUUUAGCCACAGUAUUCGCGCCAACGCUUAUAGCCACACCACAACAUAUGACAGACCUAUCGCAGGAAAUCUUCAUGCUAUCAUCUCUAAUAACGAAUUGCCAAGCAGUUUUCAUGUAGAACAUUAUUUGUUAGCUGAUAUGACAAUAGGCAAUGUACGGACAGCAUUUUCAGGGUAGAGGCAUUGCCCAAGGUGAAUAAGAUUUCUGUAAUAUUGUAAAUAGUCGCCAAUUCGGAUAAACGAAACUGUAAUGAUACAUACUGGAGAUUUUGAGGGGGCGCUAGGAAUCUAGAAAUCAGUAUCGGUUGUUAUGCCACAUGAAAAGAGAAAAUGUUAAGCCGAUAUUGUUCUUACGUUGAUAUUUCUGAGUGAAGAGAAGAGUUCGUACAUUUGUGGGAUCAAAAGCUAAUUAAUCCGUACAAAAAGAUACAUUACCAGUAACAAAAAUGUGUAGCGAUCGCAAUAGAAAUAGUAAAUCAGCCAAAUGGCCUAGAAUAGAAGAAUCUACAAAUAUUUACACGAUUGUACUCAUCUUAUUUAUAACGUCAGUAUUUUUAAGCGUCUUAAAAGGCAACUAAUUCGAAAAUCAACGUCAUUUACUUACUUUUCGGAUCAUAUGUUACGAAUCUCUAUUAGUUUUUUUUUACCUUAUAUUACUACACUUAUAACCUUGAUUAAGGAACCGAAUAAUUAACAAAUGAUAGUUGGUUCGUUGGACAGAAAUGGAACCGAAUUUCCGCAAUGUCCGCCCAAUUCAAAACCAAAUAAGUAUCGAAACGUUCUUUUCGUUAUUACAAUCAUGCGGUUGAGUAUUUAUUUAUUAAGAAAAUCAUUCGAAUUUUCGGAAAAAUAUAUUUGCAGAGAAUGAUGUUUAUGAUUUCAUGUUGAUUCGUUAUUGGAUUGUGAUACUGAUAUAUUAAAUUAACAAGAAUCUGAGAAAGGGUAAACUUUACGAGCUCAUUGUAUUCAAAGUUGAUUCCUUUUUAUAAUAACUGUAGGUCUUAAUUUGUACGUUUUAUACAUCCUACUUAAAAAAUAUACAGAUAUUGCCUAGCAAAAUUUAUUGUAUACAUAAAAUACGCCUUUUAUUU